rnacentral:rRNA from 1 species
GGAGGAAGAAGGUCUUCGGAUUGUAAACUCCUGUUGUUGAGGAAGAUAAUGACGGUACUCAACAAGGAAGUGACGGCUAACUACGUGCCAGCAGCCGCGGUAAAACGUAGGUCACAAGCGUUGUCCGGAAUUACUGGGUGUAGAGGGAGCGCAGGCGGGAGAACAAGUUGGAGGUGAAAUCCAUGGGCUCAACCCAUGAACUGCUUUCAAAACUGUUUUUCUUGAGUAGUGCAGAGGUAGGCGGAAUUCCCGGUGUAGCGGUGGAAUGCGUAGAUAUCGGGAGGAA